AGAAAACAACCUCAGAAUGAAUGAGCCCUCUGUGAUCUACAUCUCCUCCUUGAAAACAUGUUUGUAAAAGAAAAGACGGAUCAGGACGGAUGACAGAAGGGUCAAAGGAAAGUGAAAUACAACCAGCAGGUUUGUCUGUUUGGUCAAUAAUAUAUUUUUGCCUGAAAAGUUGUAGUGAUGUAAUGGAAAAGGAAUUCUCAAUGGUCAAGACGGACUGCCAGCAACAAAGCACAAUUCUUAAGGCCCAUACUUAGCCCAUUACAUCAAACAUGUGAAUGAAACAAAACUCAAUUUAAGGUCCCAGCAGACUUGACUUGAUAAAUAGCAGGCCUCCUCAAAGCAACAGAUGCAAAGACUACAGCAACAUUGUUCAUCAGCGUGGAGGAAAAAAAAAAUCUUCACGGCUGUUCCACAUACUAAAAGGGAGAAGCAUGCAUAGAAAACAAGAUGGAAGAAACUUA